rnacentral:rRNA from 1 species
GAUGAACGCUGGCGGCGUGCCUAAUACAUGCCAGUCGAGCGUACAGAUGAGGAGCUUGCUCCUCUGACGUUAGCGGCGGACGGGUGAGUAACACGUGGAUAACCUACCUAUAAGACUGGGAUAACUUCGGGAAACCGGAGCUAAUACCGGAUAAUAUAUUGAACCGCAUGGUUCAAUAGUGAAAGACGGUUUUGCUGUCACUUAUAGAUGGAUCCGCGCCGCAUUAGCUAGUUGGUAAGGUAACGGCUUACCAAGGCAACGAUGCGUAGCCGACCUGAGAGGGUGAUCGGCCACACUGGAACUGAGACACGGUCCAGACUCCUACGGGAGGCAGCAGUAGGGAAUCUUCCGCAAUGGGCGAAAGCCUGACGGAGCAACGCCGCGUGAGUGAUGAAGGUCUUCGGAUCGUAAAACUCUGUUAUUAGGGAAGAACAAAUGUGUAAGUAACUAUGCACGUCUUGACGGUACCUAAUCAGAAAGCCACGGCUAACUACGUG